AGUGAACGCUGGCGGUAGGCCUAACACAUGCAAGUCGAACGGCAGCACAGUAAGAGCUUGCUCUUACGGGUGGCGAGUGGCGGACGGGUGAGGAAUACAUCGGAAUCUACUUUUUCGUGGGGGAUAACGUAGGGAAACUUACGCUAAUACCGCAUACGACCUACGGGUGAAAGCAGGGGAUCUUCGGACCUUGCGCGAUUGAAUGAGCCGAUGUCGGAUUAGCUAGUUGGCGGGGUAAAGGCCCACCAAGGCGACGAUCCGUAGCUGGUCUGAGAGGAUGAUCAGCCACACUGGAACUGCGACACGCUCCAGACUCCUACGGGAGGCAGCAGUGGGGAAUAUUGGACAAUGGGCGCAAGCCUGAUCCAGCCAUACCGCGUGGGUGAAGAAGGCCUUCGGGUUGUAAAGCCCUUUUGUUGGGAAAGAAAAGCAGCAGGUUAAUACCCCGCUGUUCUGACGGUACCCAAAGAAUAAGCACCGGCUAACUUCGUG
rnacentral:rRNA from 1 species